GAAGAAGAAGAAGAACGAUUAUACAUCCAUGGAACGACCAGACACAUGGCAGCAAUGUUCCCAUCUGCUUCAUUCAUUUCUCCUGUUCAACCGAUAAUAAACCUGGUUGACAAGAAGGAAGUCGUUUUCAUUCGACACAACGCAGAGAUACAUGUGGCGUCAAUCCAGACCGGUUACACAAAGAAUGAUAAAUAGAGAAAACAGAUAUAAUUUGCUUAUUAUCUGAUUACCAGCUCUGCACAGCGGACUUGUAACACUAGCAGCAGUGGAGAUGGAGCAUCAGAACCUGGAG